rnacentral:misc_RNA from 1 species
GUGAACAUCUAAUUUUUGAACGCAAAUUGCACUCUCCUCGGAGAGUAUGCCUGUUUGAGGGUCAGCCCAUAAAAAUCGCCAUCGUUGCUGUUUCGGGGUGGCGUUGGUCGGAAAUUGGGUCAUCUUAAAUCCUUUUGAUUUAAGCGACUUAAAUUUUUCUUUUGGUUCCAUGACCGUUUCUAGGAUUUAUUUCUUUCCAGGUUUAGGUUAUCGAUUUUAAUUAGCC